rnacentral:rRNA from 1 species
UCCAGACUCCUACGGGAGGCAGCAGUGGGGGAUAUUGCACAAUGGGGGGAACCCUGAUGCAGCGACGCCGCGUGGGUGAAGGAGCGUUUCGGCGCGUAAAGCCCUAUCGGCAGGGAAGAAGGAGGACGGUACCUGACUAAGAAGCCCCGGCUAACUACGCGCCAGCAGCCGCGGUAAUACGUAGGGGGCAAGCGUUAUCCGGAUUUACUGGGUGUAAAGGGGGCGCAGACGGCAGCGCAAGCCAGGAGUGAAAGCCCGGGGCCCAACCCCGGGACUGCUCUUGGAACUGCGCGGCUGGAGUGCAGGAGGGGCAGGCGGAAUUCCUAGUGUAGCGGUGAAAUGCGUAGAUAUUAGGAGGAACACCGGCGGCGAAGGCGGCCUGCUGGACCGUAACUGACGUUGAGGCUCGAAAGCGUGGGGAGCAAACAGGAUUAGAUACCCUCGUAGU